GACGAACGCUGGCGGCGUGCUUAACACAUGCAAGUCGAACGGGUCUGCCCUGUUUUUUGCGGGGUGGGUCAGUGGCGAACGGGUGAGUAACACGUGAGUAACCUGCCCCUCACUUCUGGAUAACCGCUUGAAAGGGUGGCUAAUACGGGGUGUUCUGGCUGUGCCGCAUGGUGUGGCUGGGAAAGAUUCACUUUUGUGGUGUUUUGGUGGGGGAUGGGCUCGCGGCCUAUCAGCUUGUUGGUGGGGUGAUGGCCUGCCAAGGCUUUGACGGGUAGCCGGCCUGAGAGGGUGGGCGGUCACACUGGGACUGAGAUACGGCCCAGACUCCUGCGGGAGGCAGCAGUGGGGGGUAUUGCACAAUGGGCGGAGGCCUGAUGCAGCGACGUCGCGUGAGGGAUGGAGGCCUUCGGGUUGUGAACCUCUUUCGCCGGUGAAGAAGGUCCUGCUCUUUGUGGUGGGGUUGACGGUAGCCGGGUUAUGAAGCGCCGGCUAACUACGUG
rnacentral:rRNA from 1 species